GCGGAUGUAGUUCAAUGGCAGAACAUGAGCUUCCCAAGCUCAGAAUGCGGGUUCGAUUCCCGUCAUCCGCUCCA
rnacentral:tRNA from 2 species